rnacentral:lncRNA from 1 species
UGACUGCAGGAUGAGUACAGAAUUUUUCUAUAAAUAUACUAAAAUACCAAGUAAGCCAGGAGCAGCCACUAGGCAAACACCAAACCUUGCAUUCCUGGCCAAACCUAUCACAGAGCUCAUCAGCACUGAGCUCCUCACACAGGUGACUGAACCCGUGGUUUUGGUGUCUGAGAAGAUGCAGCUUCUCCAGUCUCUGCAACUGACGGCAGGAAGAUGGGAGCACUCAGCUUCAGUGUUCAGAAGCAGAUUUAGGCCAAUUGCCAUACCUUACGUUCUGGAGGGAUCCACCCUGACCUGAGCAGGGCACAAUUAUUUUAUCUUGGAACCAACAAUCUUCGGAGAAUGUAUCCCAAAGAUACAAUUCAAAAAGAUAAAAAGGCAGAAGCACAAGGUCAUUCUUGGCAGAACAAAUUGUAACAGCAGAAGACUGGAAAUAAGACAGAUGUCCACCAAUAAAGGACUGACUGAAUAAUCUAAGGUGCAUCUACAUCCUAGAUUUCAAUGCCGGUAUAACAAGCAAGGAAGAUUCCCUCUCUCUGCUGCUAUGUAGUGAUUUCCAGGAUAUA